AGAGUCACAAGUUUUCAUUAUUGUCUUUUUAGCAUUCACAGUGAAGAACAUGGAAAUGAGGUUGCUGAAGAUUCAAACAAGCCUCAGAAAUGCAAAAUAUCUCACCAAGGAGAGGAGAAGAAACUUAUUUUUAAAUGUGUACACAAACUCCUACCUAAUCACACAUAGCUGUCACUCCAGAAAGAAGCAGGAGGCUGAGGAUGGGACUCUGGGUGACAUCAGCAUGAUGUGGUCAGACCUUUGUGGUGCCCAGGGCCAGGACCAGGGUGACAGGAACAGAGCAGCCCUAUUGCUGCUGUUUGCACAUGGAGCCAUUCUGCCCCUUGGCUUCCUGGUUUUCUCUUACUCCUGGAGAAGGCAGAACCUACUGCUUGAAUUUCAGCAGUUCCCCAAGCUUGCUCUGGGCCUUCUGAGCUCUUACUCUGAGAAUAUUUACUGUCUAGGGAAAGAAGAAAUUUUAUAGAGGUACAAAACUCUAGAGAACCAAGUGCAAAGAAGCAAA